GAUGAACGCUGGCGGCGUGCCUAAUACAUGCAAGUCGAGCGAACGGACGAGAAGCUUGCUUCUCUGAUGUUAGCGGCGGACGGGUGAGUAACACGUGGAUAACCUACCUAUAAGACUGGGAUAACUUCGGGAAACCGGAGCUAAUACCGGAUAAUAUUUUGAACCGCAUGGUUCAAAAGUGAAACACGGUCUUCCUGUCACUUAUAGAUGGAUCCGCGCUGCAUUAGCUAGUUGGUAAGGUAACGGCUUACCAAGGCGACGAUGCAUAGCCGACCUGAGAGGGUGAUCGGCCACACUGGAACUGAGACACGGUCCAGACUCCUACGGGAGGCAGCAGUAGGGAAUAUUCCGCAAUGGGCGAAAGCCUGACGGAGCAACGCCGCGUGAGUGAUGAAGGUCUUCGGAUCGUAAAGCUCUGUUAUUAGGGAAGAACAGAUGUGUGAGUAACUGUGGACAUCUUGACGGUACCUAAUCAGAAAGCAACGGCUAACUACGUG
rnacentral:rRNA from 1 species